rnacentral:ncRNA from 1 species
UUUAAUUUGGCUUUGGUUAUUAUAUAAGUUAUUGCUAGGUUUGUAUAUGUUAGGUUUGUGUGUAUGUCGUUUUGUUUGAGUAUUUUAUUAUUUAUAUAGUUUAAUAUUUGUUAAGUAAUAAUUUAUAUUAUUAGUAUUUUAUUAAUAUAAUAUAAGUGAGCUACGCAGUAUUUAUGGUUAUACAAUGGAUGAAAGUUUGAUAUAGUUAAUGUGUUAAGAGGUGGUUAAACUAGUGCCAGCAUCUGCGGUUAUACUAGUACUUUUAAUUUAUAUAUAUAUAGUAUAAAAUAAAGUAGAGAUUUGUAAUGUGGAUAGAGUAAAUGAGAGUAAUGAUUGUAGGUAAAAUUUAAUUGUUAUUAUUAAUUAUAUUACUCUAAUGUUAAAUUCUUUGAAAGUAAGGUUGAGUAAACUAGGAUUAGAGACCCUAUUAUUCUUUAUUUUAAAAAUUUUUAUUACUUAAGUAGUAUAAACAUAAAUGUGAUAUUUAGUUUUAUGUGUGUUUGAAACUUAAAAGGCUUGGCGGUGUUAUAUAUCCUCCCAGGGGAGUUUGCUUAUUAAUUUGAUAAUCCUCAAUUUAUACUUACUUUUUUUUGAAUAAAACAGUUUGUAUAUUGCUGUCGUCAGUUUAUUUUGUAAAAAUUUUGGAAAAAACUUAAUAACGAAGUGGUUGUAAUGUCAAGUCAAAAUGCAGCUAAUGAAAAAGGUUUAAAGUGAGCUACGAUUUAUAAUUUUUAAUCAGAUUAAGUUAUGUAAUUGACUUAUGAAGUUGGACUUGGUAGUAAUAAAACGGAUAUAAAUAGUGGGUUUUUGUGAAUUAGGUUUUAUAACGCGUACAUAUCGCCCGUCGCUCUUGUUGGGAAAUAAGAUAAGUCGUAACAUAGUAGGGGUAGCGGAAGCUGUUCCUGGAAUGUAAUUA